rnacentral:rRNA from 1 species
UACGAAGGGGGCUAGCGUUGCUCGGAAUCACUGGGCGUAAAGGGUGCGUAGGCGGGUUUUUAAGUCAGAGGUGAAAUCCUGGAGCUCAACUCCAGAACUGCCUUUGAUACUGAGAAUCUUGAGUUCGGGAGAGGUGAGUGGAACUGCGAGUGUAGAGGUGAAAUUCGUAGAUAUUCGCAAGAACACCAGUGGCGAAGGCGGCUCACUGGCCCGUAACUGACGCUGAGGCACGAAAGCGUGGGGAGCAAACAGG